ensembl:lncRNA
AAAAGUGUCAGACACAACUGAGCAACUAAGCACAGCACAGCACAGACUGUAGCCUGCCAGGCUCCUCUGAUCACGGGACCUCCCAGGCAAGAAUACUGGAGUGGGUUGCCAUUUCCUUCUCUGGGAUAUCUUCCUGGACCAGAGAUCGAACCCAGGUCUCCUGCAUUGGCAGGUGUGUUUUUUACCACUGAGCCACCAGAGUAAGCCCAUGUAGAUAGUGGUUGACCUCAUUUUAGACUAAGGUGGGUUGGUUCCAAUGUUUCCAAGUGCACUCCAAGACGAGAUAAAAAUGUAGUCCUCUCUGUUGUCAGGAUGAUCAGAAAAUCCGUGUGGUGACACGUCAGCAAGCUCAAGGGCUCUGUAGGCAGUGCCUUCCACUUUUUCUAAGAUACUGCAAGCAUGUGCACUUUUCCACAGGCUGAUGUUGAACAUCCUCUAAAUUACAGCUGUGGAAGCCGAACCACGUGUGAGGCCCCGAGCCACAGCAUCCUUCUGGCUCUGGAAACCCAAGUGAAGCACCCUGAGGCCUUCGACUUUGAUGCUUACUGUGAAAAAAGAAAGGAAGGGAGCCUCUGAAAAGAGAUCUUGCAAGACUUUUAAGCAAAUGUCCUCGGAUGCACUCUGCCUAAGCUCAGAAGACACCAAAAAGCACAGCGUCAUCGCAUCCUCCCGCAUCCUCAUCUCCCUCGCUCCCAGACCCAGCCAGGUUGUCCGUGGCCUUAAAUGCUGGUUCUCCCUAUUACUGGGCUGCUGCGUUGAAAGCAAAAAACAAACAGAAGUCCCAAAGUUCCACCGUGGUGGUUACCUCCUCCCCGCCGCAAGUAUUUACUCACUUAACCUUAAGAACAGAUACUUUGGCCAUCUGAUGCAAAGAAAGGACUCAUUUGAAAAGACCCUGAUGCUGGGAAAGACUGAAGGCGGGAGAAGGGGACGACAGAGGAUGAGAUGGUUGGAUGGCAUCACCAUUCAACGUGAGUUUGAGCAAACUCCGGGGGACAGUGAAGGACAGGGAAGCCUGGCGUGCUGCGGUCCGUGGGGUCUCAAAGAGUUGGAACUGAACUGAAGGAACAGAUGUCUUCUGUCUUUUGUUUUUGUUGUUGUUGCUGUUGUUUUUGGUAGUGCCUCUUUAUCCACCUACCCAACACAUACACAGAGUUUUGGGCCUGUAAUAAGUGAUCAAUAAUUGUUGGAUUGGAUUGAGCUGAGCUGAGUAGAUUUAAAUUGAAUAGAGCUGGACCUACAAAACACUCAGAAUUGCACUAACAGCAGUAGCGUGAUGGCAUUUUUUCUGUGGUACAUCUGAUAGCUCUGUUUGCCCGGUGUGUCCAUUUUCCCUUAGCAUAGAACAGCACC